GGUGGGAGUGGGGGCAGUAUCCUAGCUGAGCACGCUCUGGCCUUUACACAGAUCUCCCUCGUUUCUGUGGGUAUCUGGCAGAUGAAAACGGGGCCGGCACAGGAGGCGUUUCUCUCCAGGCACUCGGGGAUGCCUCUUAUCAGCCACCCACCAGAACACACCAGCAGCCUGUGGCCAGCAUCACAGGGGGCUCAGCCACCCCGGCUAGACCAGCCUCGCUGGGCUUGAAGCACUCGCCCCUAUCGGACCAUCUGGAAAAGCAGCUCCCCGACCCAGCCCUACAAAUCCCAGACCGCCACCAGUAUUUCUCCACCUCAUCGCAGAGGAAUGUGCUGGCAUGCCACAAGUUGGUCUGAAGAAUGCAGAGUUUCCUACUACUUUAGAAGAUCCCAAAUGACACUGGGAGGAACCAGCUGGGGCCUGGGGAAACUGGUGUUUUGGGAGAAACAGCUGCUUGAGCACGAAUGUCGGAAGGAAGUUCUCUUCCCUACUGCCAGCCCACAAGACACAGAACUGUAAUCCAGUCGCAGGAGCUACUAUAACGAGACAAAGGGGGACAAGAUUGAGUCAGUGCCGAUUGGGGCCCCAAGAGUUUGACAAUGGGACCAUGCCAACAAAUGCAAGAAGGGAAAACACCAGCCAAUAACACGGGGAUCCUCAUCUAACAACAGGACUUGGGGAAGGAAUUCUAAUUUUAUCUAUUUAAGCAACUAUUAAUUACUUAUACAGCUUUAGGAACAGGAUGGACUGGUGAGUCAAUAAGGGAUGUAAAGGUUUCUCUAUAAACAAUAUGUAAACCCUUUAUUCCAAGUCUUUUAUCUGAUAAAAGUUGUGAGUCUGACGGAUUUAAUUCACUUUCAUUCACUUCUGUCAACUUGUCAGUGAACUACUAGAGAGGAGGUAAGUGGGAAGACAAGAAACCUCUCUCUAGAACAAUCAUGCCCUUAGUAAGAGUUCUCGAUAACCCCUCCCAUCACCCUAUUUGUACGUUAUAAGCCAGUAAGCAAAAUAGAAAACCUUCUCCUCCUUUUUAAUAGCUAUUCUUUCCAUUGGCUAAAAGUCUGAAUAGACUAGGAACUAAUACCAAGUAUAUCAACACUGGCCAUUUUAAUGGGAAAAAAUAUGAAAUAUAUAUCUUCAUGUAAAUGGAAAUCCUACAUUAUAAAAGCAGGCAAGAUGAUUAUGUGUGACAAAUACUUACAGUCAAAUGAGAAAAAGUAGAAAAAAGUUCCCCCUUCUAAAAUAAACUAAUCUUUUUCCAGCAUACAAUUCUCCUAAAUUCUGACACUUAUGCUUGCUUCAAAAAACAAUUUAAGUCAACACUUCCCACUCUGUUAUUCUACCCUGAGGCAUAAAAAUUUUAUUAAAUAGCCUAAAAAUGCUUUCACACACAAGGAGCAGGCAAAAACUGACUUGCACCAUGACAAAGUCAAGCUAUAGUCUGACUUCUACCCCGUCCUCCUGCUGGCACCAAACUAACCUUGAGUUCUGCUUGCCCACUCUCUCUCCCUCCCUUCCCCCUUCUUUGAGAACCAUACCAAAGCCUCCCAGUGUGCACUCUCCCAGUAAUCACCACCACACUACGCCAGUGUCUUCAAAAUCACCUUCUCUGUUUCAACAACCUCACAGUCAGAAUGACAUGUUGCUCUCCUGGUCAAUGCCUCCAUCCCAAAACAGGAUCCUGCAAAUUCCUAAAACCUCUGUCCCACUCUUUUUAUUCUGGUUGAUUCUUUUUUUUUUUUUUUAACAUCUUUAUUGGAGUAUAAUUGCUUUACAUUGUUGUGUUAGUUUCUACUGUAUAACAA